CAGUAGCCGCGGUAAUACGUAGGGUGCGAGCGUUAAUCGGAAUUACUGGGCGUAAAGCGUGCGCAGGCGGUUCGUUAAGACAGAUGUGAAAUCCCCGGGCUUAACCUGGGAACUGCAUUUGUGACUGGCGAGCUAGAGUAUGGCAGAGGGGGGUAGAACUCCACGUGUAGCAGUGAAAUGCGUAGAGAUGUGGAGGAAUACCGAUGGCGAAGGCAGCCCCCUGGGCCAAUACUGACGCUCAUGCACGAAAGCGUGGGGAGCGAACAGGAUUAGAUACCCGCGUAGUCCCUGUCUCUUAUAC
rnacentral:rRNA from 1 species